rnacentral:tRNA from 1 species
AACCCUGUGGCUCAGUUGGUAGAGCAUGGUGUUUGCAAUGCCAGCAUGGUGUGUGCAAUGCCAGGGUUG